AUGCGUGAUCAGGUCGGCAUCGACCUGGACGGCUUCCCCCUCGACCACGAGUUCCCGGAGGACUAUGGGCUAGAGGAAGAGGACGAGUGCGGCAUCGAAGUGGAGCCUUUGUUCGAGGACGAGCUCGCCAACCAAACCGCCGGUCCUAAGCCGAAGCGCAAGAGCAAGCGCACGAAGGCGUACACAGCUGCCGAGGACAAGCUUCUUUGCGAGUGUUGGCGAGACAUUGGACAAGACCCAAAGACGGGCGCCGAUCAAAAGCAUUCGACCUUUUGGACUCGUGUGCACCGCGAGUUUCAUGAGCGCAAGAAGUUUCCACCUUACCAAUUUGUGAGCACGCGCGGGUGGGUCUCCAUUUCCAAGCGGUGGAGGGUGAUCCAACAAGAGUGCAACGAGUUUUGCGCCACCCUUGAGAGCGUCAAGGCCCGCCCCGUGAGCGGCAUCGACGUGCAAGACAUGGUAUGA
rnacentral:rRNA from 1 species